UACGGAGGGUGCAAGCGUUAAUCGGAAUCACUGGGCGUAAAGCGCGCGUAGGCCGCCUUCUAAGUCGGACGUGAAAGCCCUCGGCUCAACCGAGGAACUGCGUUCGAAACUGGGAGGCUUGAGUCCUGGAGAGGGUGGCGGAAUUCCGGGUGUAGGAGUGAAAUCCGUAGAUAUCCGGAGGAACACCGGUGGCGAAGGCGGCCACCUGGACAGGUACUGACGAUGAGGCGCGAAAGCGUGGGGAGCAAACAGG
rnacentral:rRNA from 1 species